GACGAACGCUGGCGGCGUGCUUAACACAUGCAAGUCGAACGGUGAAGGGACUGGUUUUGCUGGUCCUGGAUGAGUGGCGAACGGGUGAGUAACACGUGAGUAACCUGCCCCCUUCUUCUGGAUAACCGCAUGAAAGUGUGGCUAAUACGGGAUAUUCUGGGUCUGUCGCAUGGUGGGCCUGGGAAAGAUUGCGCCUUUUUUGGUGUUUUUGGUGGGGGAUGGGCUCGCGGCCUAUCAGCUUGUUGGUGGGGUGAUGGCCUACCAAGGCGGUGACGGGUAGCCGGCCUGAGAGGGUGGACGGUCACACUGGGACUGAGACACGGCCCAGACUCCUACGGGAGGCAGCAGUGGGGAAUAUUGCACAAUGGGCGCAAGCCUGAUGCAGCGACGCCGCGUGAGGGAUGGAGGCCUUCGGGUUGUGAACCUCUUUCGCCAGUGAAGCAGGCCCGCCUCUUUUUGUGGGUGGGUUGACGGUAGCUGGAGAAGAAGCGCCGGCUAACUACGUG
rnacentral:rRNA from 1 species